rnacentral:rRNA from 1 species
CCUACGUGAGGCUGCAGUGGGGAAUCUUGGUCAAUGGGCGCGAGCCUGACCCAGCCAAGUCGCGUGAAGGAUGACUGCCCUACGGGUUGUAAACUUCGUUUAUAAAGGAGUAAAGUUAGUCACGUGUGCCUUUUUGUCUGUACGUUAUCUAUAAGGAUCGGCUAACUCCGUGCCAGCAGCCGCGGUAAGACGGAGGAUCCGAGCGUUAUCCUGAUUUAUUGGGUUUAAAGGGAGAGUAGAUGGGUCGUUAAGUCAGUUGUGAAAGUUUGCGGCUCAACCGUAAAAUUGCAAUUGAUACUGGCAGUCUUGAGUACAGAUGAGGUAGGCGGAAUUCGAGGUGUAGCGGUGAAAUGCUUAGAUAUAACGAAGAACUCCGAUUGCGAAGGCAGCCUACUAAACUGCAACUGACAUUGAUGCUCGAAAGUGUGGGUAUCAAACAGGAUUAGAUACCCCUGUAGUC